rfam:Triticum urartu cultivar G1812 contig522132, whole genome shotgun sequence.
UUACUACUCCCUCCGUCCAGAAAUACUUGUCGGAGAAAUGGAUAAAAAUGGAUGUAUCUAGAACUAAAUUAUGUCUAGAUACAUUCUUCGCUCCGACAAGUAUUUUCGGACGGAGGGAGUACUUC